rnacentral:rRNA from 1 species
GACGGAGGGGGCAAGCGUUGUCCGGACUAACUGGGCGUAAAGGGUCCGUAGGUGGCCCGGCACGUCGGAGGUGAAAGCGCCAGGCUCAACCUGGCAGGGUCUUCCGAUACGGCUGGGCUGGAGGACGGCAGAGGGUGGUGGAAUUCCCGGUGUAGUGGUGAAAUGCGUAGAGCUCGGGAGGAACACCAGUGGCGAAAGCGGCCACCUGGGCCGGACCUGACACUGAGGGACGACAGCGUGGGGAGCGAACCGG